rnacentral:rRNA from 1 species
GAUGAACGCUAGCUACAGGCUUAACACAUGCAAGUCGAGGGGAAACGAUAUUGGAAGCUUGCUUCUGAUAGGCGUCGACCGGCGCACGGGUGAGUAACGCGUAUCCAACCUGCCCACCACUUGGGGAUAACCUUGCGAAAGUAAGACUAAUACCCAAUGACGUCUCUAGAAGACAUCUGAAAGAGAUUAAAGAUUUAUCGGUGAUGGAUGGGGAUGCGUCUGAUUAGCUUGUUGGCGGGGUAACGGCCCACCAAGGCGACGAUCAGUAGGGGUUCUGAGAGGAAGGUCCCCACAUUGGAACUGAGACACGGUCCAAACUCCUACGGGAGGCAGCAGUGAGGAAUAUUGGUCAAUGGACGAGAGUCUGAACCAGCCAAGUAGCGUGCAGGAUGACGGCCCUAUGGGUUGUAAACUGCUUUUAUAAGGGAAUAAAGUGGGAGUCGUGACUCUUUUUGCAUGUACCUUAUGAAUAAGGACCGGCUAAAUUCCGUGCCAGCAGCCG